UACGUAGGGUGCAGGCGUUAAUCGGAAUUACUGGGCGUAAAGCGUGCGCAGGCGGUCUGCUAAGAGAGAUGUGAAAUCCCCGGGCUUAACCUGGGAACUGCGUUUCUAACUGGCAGGCUUGGAGUGUGGCAGAGGGGGGUGGAAUUCCGACGUGUAGCAGUGAAAUGCGUAGAGAUGUGGAGGAACACCGAUGGCGAAGGCAGCCCCCUGGGCUAACACUGACGCUCAUGCACGAAAGCGUGGGGAGCAAACAGG
rnacentral:rRNA from 1 species